rnacentral:rRNA from 1 species
CCUACGGGUGGCAGCAGUAGGGAAUAUUGCUCAAUGGGGGAAACCCUGAAGCAGCAACGCCGCGUGGAGGAUGAAGGUUUUAGGAUUGUUAACUCCUUUUGUUAGAGAAGAUUAUGACGGUAUCUAUCGAAUAUGCACCGUAUAACUUCGUGCCAGCAGCCGAGGUAAUACGGCGGGUGCAAGCGUUACUCGGAAUCACUGGGCGUAAAGAGUGCGUAGGCGGGGUAAUAAGUCAGAUGUGAAAUGCUGGAGCUUAACUAGAGAACUGCAUUGGAAACUGUUACUCUGGAGUGUGGGGAAAGCAGGCGGAAUUCGUGGUGUAGGGGUGAAAUGCGUAGAGAUGAAGAAGAAUCCUGAGUGCGAAGGCGGCCUGCUGGAACAGUACUGACGCUGAUGCACGAAAGCGCGGGGAGCGAACAGGAUUAGAUACCCGAGUAGUC